GAUGAACGCUAGCUACAGGCUUAACACAUGCAAGUCGCGGGGCAGCAUGGGGGUUGCUUGCAAUCCCCGAUGGCGACCGGCGCACGGGUGAGUAACGCGUAUCCAACCUGCCCUUCACCACGGGAUACCCCGGCGAAAGUCGGACUAAUACCGUAUGUUGUCCAUUGACGGCAUCCGAUUUGGACGAAAGGUUUGGCGGUGAAGGAUGGGGAUGCGUCCGAUUAGCUGUACGGCGGGGUGACGGCCCACCGUGGCGACGAUCGGUAGGGGUUCUGAGAGGAAGGUCCCCCACACUGGAACUGAGACACGGUCCAGACGCCUACGGGAGGCAGCAGUGAGGAAUAUUGGUCAAUGGGCGUAAGCCUGAACCAGCCAAGUAGCGUGCAGGAUGACGGCCCUAUGGGUUGUAAACUGCUUUUAUGCGGGGAUAAAGUGGCCCACGUGUGGGUUUUUGCAGGUACCGCGUGAAUAAGGACCGGCUAAUUCCGUG
rnacentral:rRNA from 1 species